rnacentral:rRNA from 1 species
GACGAACGCUGGCGGCGUGCCUAAUACAUGCAAGUAGAACGCUGAAGAGAGGAGCUUGCUCUUCUCGGAUGAGUUGCGAACGGGUGAGUAACGCGUAGGUAACCUGCCUGGUAGCGGGGGAUAACUAUUGGAAACGAUAGCUAAUACCGCAUAAAAUGGAUUAUCGCAUGAUAAUGCAUUGAAAGGUGCAAAUGCAUCACUACCAGAUGGACCUGCGUUGUAUUAGCUAGUUGGUGGGGUAACGGCUCACCAAGGCGACGAUACAUAGCCGACCUGAGAGGGUGAUCGGCCACACUGGGACUGAGACACGGCCCAGACUCCUACGGGAGGCAGCAGUAGGGAAUCUUCGGCAAUGGACGGAAGUCUGACCGAGCAACGCCGCGUGAGUGAAGAAGGUUUUCGGAUCGCAAAGCUCUGUUGUAAGAGAAGAACGAGUGUGAGAGUGGAAAGUUCACACUGUGACGGUAUCUUACCAGAAAGGGACGGCUAACUACGUGCCAGCAGCCGCGGUAAUACGUAGGUCCCGAGCGUUGUCCGGAUUUAUUGGGCGUAAAGCGAGCGCAGGCGGUUAGAUAAGUCUGAAGUUAAAGGCUGUGGCUUAACCAUAGUACGCUUUGGAAACUGUUUAACUUGAGUGUAAGAGGGGAGAGUGGAAUUCCAUGUGUAGCGGUGAAAUGCGUAGAUAUAUGGAGGAACACCGGUGGCGAAAGCGGCUCUCUGGCUUGUAACUGACGCUGAGGCUCGAAAGCGCGGGGAGCAAACAGG